GUUUUAUUUUGGCUUAACAUUCUUAUUUGCUUUAUUGUUAAAUUUACAUGAAAAUUAACUGUGUUCAUUAAUAGUUGAUAAAUUAUUAACUUUUUGUAAAAUUAAAAACAUUUAUAAUUUUUAAAAUCUCAGUAUAAAGUUUUAUUAACAUGUAUGAAAGUGUGAAAUGGUGAUUAAUAAGUAAGCUUGAUGAAUAUUUGUGCCAGCAUUCGCGGUUAUACUUUAAAUUUAAGCAAAAAAAUUAGAUGUAGUUAAAUGUGGAUUAUUACGGUAUUAUUAAUAAUAAAAGGUGAAAUUAGGUUAUUAUUUUGUAAUGUGGCUGUAUAAUUGUUAUUGAAGCUAAUAAAAUUUAGGUAUAAACUAGGAUUAGAUACCCUAUUAUUCUAAAUUUAAAUUAUAAAUAGGUCUUAAUAGAUAGUAGAUAUAUUCUUUAAAAUUAAAAAAUUUGGCGGUUAUUUAAUCUUUUCAGAGGAACUUGUUUUAUAAUCGAUAAACCACGUAGAAUCUUACUUGCUAAUGUUAUUGUUUGUAUACCGUCAUUAUUAGAUAAUUUUUAAAGAAGAAAAAUUAUUAAAAUUAAAUGGUUAAUUAAAUUAGAUCAUGGUACAGCUAAUAGGCAAGUAAAAAUGAGUUACAAUAAAUUAUUUUAAAUGKAUUAAUAAAUUAAAUUUUAUUAUGAAGGAGGAUUUGAUUGUAUUGUUCAUUUAAUAAGUGAAUAGUAUAUAAGCUCUAAAUUAUGUACAUAUCGCCCGUCGCUUUCACCUACAAGUGGAAUAAGUCGUAACAUAGUAAAUAUACUGGAAAGUGUAUUUAGAA
rnacentral:ncRNA from 1 species